rnacentral:rRNA from 1 species
GAGAAUCCCGUCCACCGAUUGACUAAGGUUUCCAGAGGAAGGCUCGUCCGCUCUGGGUUAGUCGGGUCCUAAGCUGAGGCCGACAGGCGUAGGCGAUGGAUAACAGGCUGAUAUUCCUGUACCACCUAUAAUCGUUUUAAUCGAUGGGGGGACGCAGUAGGAUAGGCGAAGCGUGCGAUUGGAUUGCACGUCUAAGCAGUAAGGCUGAGUAUUAGGCAAAUCCGG